rnacentral:rRNA from 1 species
UACAACUUUCAGCAACGGAUCUCUUGGCUCUCGCAUCGAUGAAGAACGCAGCGAAAUGCGAUAAGUAAUGUGAAUUGCAGAAUUCAGUGAAUCAUCGAAUCUUGAACGC